CCUACGGGAGGCUGCAGUGGGGAAUAUUGGACAAUGGGGGGAACCCUGAUCCAGCCAAGCCGCGUGUGUGAAGAAGGCCCUCGGGUUGUAAAGCACUUUCAGUGAGGAAGAACGCCUGGUGGUUAAUACCCAUCAGGAAAGACAUCACUCACAGAAGAAGCACCGGCUAACUCCGUGCCAGCAGCCGCGGUAAUACGGAGGGUGCGAGCGUUAAUCGGAAUUACUGGGCGUAAAGCGCGCGUAGGUGGCUUGAUAAGCCGGUUGUGAAAGCCCCGGGCUCAACCUGGGAACGGCAUCCGGAACUGUCAAGCUAGAGUGCAGGAGAGGAAGGUAGAAUUCCCGGUGUAGCGGUGAAAUGCGUAGAGAUCGGGAGGAAUACCAGUGGCGAAGGCGGCCUUCUGGACUGACACUGACACUGAGGUGCGAAAGCGUGGGUAGCAAACAGGAUUAGAUACCCUGGUAGUC
rnacentral:rRNA from 1 species